ensembl:lncRNA
GUUACAACAUCAAUACACGACAAGAGACAAUGGCAAAGACAUGGCUACUUAGACAAUGAGGGUCACAUGACCUGAACAAACCAAUGGGAAACAAGACACAUGACUAAGACAACCAAUCAGAACAUGACACAUUGAACAGAGGAACCAAUAGCAGGAAUACAAGAGGGUAAGGGAAGCUUGACACAAACAGCAAUCAAACUACAAAAUGAAAGACAUGAAAAAAAAGAACAUGAAACAAAACCCCAAAACAGACCUUACAUAUCCCCCCCUCAAAAUGGCGACUCCAGAUGCCUAAACCACCGAAAACAACAAAAGUCCAGGAGGGUGGUGAAGCAGAAGUAAUCCAGGGGGUGGGAUGGAGGGCCAGGCCCGUGAAGAGGAACAGGACCUGGAGUGUGGAGCAAUGGCAGGCCUGGAGCUAGGAGCAGUGGUGGAUCAGGAUCACGAGGCAAUGACAGACAAUGGAGCAGAGGGUGUCCUGGGCCGUGGAGCAGUGACAGACAAUGGAGCUGAGGGGGACCUGGGCCGUGGAGCAGAUCCAGAGCAGUAUGGAGCCAUGGCGGAGGAGGCCUAGCGGGGAGCCAUAGCGGUGCAGGCCGAGCGGGGCGGACAGGCGGUGCCUGCAGAGCCAUGACAGUACAGACAGUGAGUUCUUGAGCGGCCUCCUUGGCUGUGGCAGGACAGGCAGAGAGUUCGUGGAUGGUCUCUUUGGCCAUGGCAGGACAGGCAGAGAGUUUGUGGAUGGCCUCCUUGGCCUUCUCUUGAGGUUCUGCAGUGGACACCGCCUCCUCUGGAGGUACUGGAGUGGAUUUGCGGUCAGGAGAGGUCGCAGGAGCAGACUCGUGGACAGGAGAGGUCCCUGAAGCGCAGUGUGCAGCCCACACACUCAAAAUGGCAACCACCAUUACUGGAAGCACUGAGGUCGCGGGAACAGUCUCUGUGACAGCCAUGACAUGGCAAGACUCAGGUUUGGCCGGGAACUCAGUCAUGGUGGCAAACUUGGCCGGGGACUCAGGCGUGGCGGCCAUCUUGUGUGAAGGCUCUGGCUUGACAGGC